UCCUGCCUGCGCGCGGGCGCGUUCCGCAGUCGGUGUUUGGGACGCUGGGUGCACAGUGACUCGGUGUCUGCUCCGGGUUCGCUGUCACAGCCCAGCCCUUCCUGGAGUCCUGGACGGACAGGGCACGCGCCCUAUGUGUCAGCGGGACUCAGGACAGAGGCGUCCUCUCGCUGCCUUUUUUUCUUCCUUUUAUCCAAAGAAGGGGGCAGUUCUCACGCUUGCCUUCCUGUCGCCCCGUUGGGAGCGGGGUUGGUGUGCGGAGUGGUUCGUCUUUUUUUCUUUUAAACUUGUGAGCGUUUUUUUUUUUUUUUUCUUUCCCUUUUUUAGGCUCAGUGCCGUCUGGACUGGUUUCCUCGGUCCCUGACUAACCUCUUUCUGCCCCUUCUCUCGCCACCCCCGCCCAAGGUCGCCCCUCCGCCCUCGCCCCUGGCCCGGGGUGGGUGGGAAGCUUUGUCCGGCUCCCUCCCCACCCGAGUCUCCGCAGCGUAGCCGCACCUGCCUCAAUAUGAACGGGGUCAGGGACCCCCUUCUUUUUAUAAAAGAUAUUAAGCCCGGACUGAAAAACUUAAAUGUCGUCUUUAUUGUCCUGGAGAUAGGACGCGUGACCAAAACCAAAGACGGCCAUGAAGUGAGAUCAUGCAAAGUAGCAGAUAAAACUGGCAGCAUCACUAUUUCCGUGUGGGAUGAAAUCGGAGGUCUUAUACAGCCAGGGGAUAUUAUUCGGUUGACCAGAGGGUAUGCAUCCAUGUGGAAAGGAUGUCUGACACUUUAUACUGGAAGGGGUGGAGAACUGCAGAAAAUUGGGGAAUUUUGUAUGGUUUAUUCAGAAUUGCCAAAUUUCAGUGAACCUAACCCAGAUUAUCGAGGACAACAGAACAAAGGGGCACACAAUGAACAGAAGAAUAAUUCCAUGAAUAAUAGUAACAAUGUGGGUACAGGUACAUUUGGACCAGUGGGAAAUGGGGUUCAGACUGGCCCAGAAGCGAGGGGAUGCCAAUUUUCAUAUGCUGGUAGAAGCAAUGGCCGGGGACCUAUAAAUCCACAGCUACCAGGAACAGCUAAUAAUCAAACAGUCAUGACCACAAUAAAAGAACUAUUAAGCUGCUCGAGUCUCCUAUUGAAGAAUGGGAACACUCUGAAGAAUAGGGGCAUUUAUUUUUAGAGCAGAAAGAUCUUUGGAUAUCCUCUAAAAAACCUGCACCCAUUUCAUGGGGUCCUGGGUACUUGCAGAAAAUCAGCCUGGAGUGAAAAUCCUAGGGAAGCCUCCAAAACCAAAGCAAAGUGACUUACAAUUCAUAAUGAAUAUUUGCCUUCUCAGCCUGCUUGGACAGUACUCAUCAAGAAGUUAAGAGGAAGAAAGUUUCCUACCUUUCCUCCUUCUGACGCUUUCAGCUAACAACUUCAUAAGUUUAAACACCUACUGAAAACAAAGGCCAUUUGGUAUAGAAAUACACACUACUGGGUUUGGGUCCCACUCUAUUUUUAUAAGUCAGUUCUGAAGUGGAUUGAGGUGAAUUAAAGUCUCAUUAGGCAGGUGGCCCCUUCUCUCUGGGCAGGUUCUUUGCGGGGGGUUACUACAGUACAGACUUGGAAACAUGAAGCCCAUGAAACAAGGUAGUGAUAUGUAUUAGUGAAGCCUGCAGUAUGCUUUCCCAUGGACAUUUACGCAACUCAUUUUUGCUUGGUUCCUGUAGUUUUAGUAAUUGCAUUUUAAAUUUGAGGACAGUUUAACUUGAGGCUCACCUAAAUAAUUGUAUCACUGAGAGGAGUAUUUGUCACUUGUAGUUUUAUCUUUCAACAUUUUCAGAGAAUGUUUAAUUUGCUGGGUUGAGUACUAACUCCGAGGCAAUGAUACUAAAAACAAACAGAUGCAAGUUUAGUAAAAUCAAUGAUCUAUAAAGAACUUGUAAAGUAAUCAGAAGGUGGUUAACCGGCCCUAGAAAGUUUUCUCAGAAGGUACAAAUUUGAGAGUAUUUUACAUCAGUCUUAAGACACAAUAGAAGUUCUUAGUUUAUGUGGAUCUGACAUUCCAAUUUAGUUACUGACAUGCCUUCCUUUCUUAUACCUUAAUAAUACCAUUAUAAUGUACAAUAAUAGAUUGCUCCAAUUGUAGGCUGCUGUGACUUAAAGAGACUUUAAUGUAUUCACAAAUGUUCUAUAAACAACAAACUAGAAAACCACCUGAAAAACAGUUUUAACAUAAGACUUUUUCACACCAAACUGGUUUUCCCUCUAGACUUGUUUUUGGGGUAGCUUCUGCUAUGAUGCUUUUUUUUUUUUUAAUCUACUUUUCCUUCUGUUAAUUCGUUUUAUCCCCUAUCCAAUGAAAGUGAACAUUUCUAGUAGAAGAGAAUCACAGUUGUUCUCUGGUACAGGAUUAAUGAUAAGUUAAAGCAGAUAUGCUUGGUCAUAGUGACAAUCUGUGUAUUGAGGUUCCAGCCAAUUAUUAAAUAGAUGUUAGGGUAAACAGCCCCACAUUUCACAAAGUAGCCAUGAUACUAACAGUUGAGGUAUGCUUUUGAGGAAACCUAAUUGUCACCUUGGGAAAACAGCACUAUCCUGAAUGGUAUGUUGUUAGGACCUGAGGAGGAGAAACUACAAAAACUUUCCAGGUGUGUUCAAGUUUUUUUCCAAAUCUCUUCAGGUUUACUUUAUUAGGGAUGCACCAGAAUUUGUUCCAAUGCUGUGUGACCAGAGUACUCCAGGUUUCUGAGCUAAAAGUGUAUAGUGAUGUUUCUUAAAACACUGAUCACAGAUGAGAGAAUCAAGUCCAGACCAUCUGACAAGCCAUUUAUGUAAUAUGUUUCCUCAUUAAGAACAUUAGGUCCAAAGAUGUUCCUAAGAGCUGUUUACCACUGAGAUCAUCAGUAUGAUGAAGAGAAAAUGAGCAUUUUAACAAGUUUUGACUAGUAGACAUUCCAUUUGUCUUUUUCAAGGCCUUGAUAAGUAACACAUGUCUUUAAAAAUAAGAUCUUUAACCCUUUUUAACCAAAAUUUGAGUACAUUUUUGUUUCAUGCUAACAAUAUUUAUACUUCUGGACAUAAAGAGUCCAGUUUCUUUGUCCACAUAUUGAUACUGCAUAAAACUCAAAGAAUGGUUUAUAAACCUAUAUGAGAUUUUCCCCAGGAACUUGUUAGGUGUAUGGAUUAUUUCUCUGCUCCACCAGAAGAAUGUGUAAGUGUAGGUUGGAGAGAGCUGCACUUGAAACAAAGUCCCUGAAGAUUUUUGUCUCCUGCCCUUGAUAUUAACACAGAAAUAACUUUAUCUUGAAAUAUAUGUACACAUGCACAUACCAGUUUAUUUUUGUGAGGUUAGAAUGUAUCAAGGUUCUAGAUUAUAAAAAAUAGUACUUAGACAUAUACACCUCCAAAAGUCAGAAUUGAUGGGUAAAACAGUAAUUCCAAGCAGGGUAGAGUUUGAGUACAGCUUCUGUUAGCACGCUUGAGUUUUGAAUUAGGUUCAAAUAGAGUAUCUUAGGGUUGGGUUAUCCAUAGUGGAAUUGCAUGGCUUCCUCUGGACCUAUAUUGAUCAAAGUGAAAAUAUCCCUUUUCAAAUGUUAGUUUUCUGUUAAAAAGAAUUAAAAUAGAUAUUUCAGCAAGGCUGUUUGCAGCAGCAUCUGCCUUCCUCCUGUCUCCCAAAGCAUUCCUCAAUUCCUUUUAUUGUGUAGAGAGGCUGGCCAAAUUGAAAAGUAGUGGAAUUGGAGGCCUGAUAAACUUUGCUGAGAAUACCUCCAGAACCUACCCUCAUUGACCUCAAUCCUGUUCUUCAGAGGGGCAGGUAUCAUAAAUAGUUUACAUAAAUGAGUAAUAAACAAGGCAUAGUUUGACUGCCUGGUGGGGCUAGUCUUGAUUCAAAUAUAACCCUAACAGGAAGCUGAGUAAGACCUUUGACCUAAGACUAAGAUAGAAAACCAAUAAAAACAGGGUAGUCAGCAUAAUUAGUGCCAUCUACUGGAUGGUUACUAAAUCGUUUCAGUAAUUUAGGAAUCUGGCUUAAAGUGGGAGAAAGUUGCUAUUAUUCCAUCAGAUGGGAAUUUUUUUGAUGUUUAGGCAUGUGUGGAAGAUCAAUAAGGAGAUGUUGAGCUAUAUGUUUAUAAUUGAUGAACAAGCAACACGGACAUCAAAAGUAGAUUCCUUUCAGUUAAACAGCUUUAUUAAGUAAAUCCUGUAUAGCUCCCUGAAGGGUCAGAAAAUAUGGGAAUUUUUGCCAGGUUUUGUACUCUUGUUAUAUAUUUCAAUAAUACUGGUGGGAAGUGUAAAUUGUUAAAAAUACCUCUGGGUGGGCGGUGGUCUGGUGAAAACAGUUGGAAGUAGAACACGAAACUGCUCUUAUAAAUUUUAUUCCUUUACUAAUGGUAUUUUGUCAAAUCCUGGCCAAGUGACUGCUGUUCUUGGGAGUUAUGUUGGCUUUGCAGAACAUAAUCUAUUUUAAUUGCCAGAGACAAUGUGCUUUGGUGAAAAGAACAUAGUUUUGAGCUGAGGAGAUCUUGGUUUGAGACCUAGAUCUAUUUUCUGGCUCUAUGGUCAUGAGCUUUGUUAUAAAAAGAGGAAUUGGAGGCUGUCUGUAUACUGGCAGAGAGAUGAGAACUAUGUGAGCCAAUGUAUGCAAAACAUCUGUUCCAUAUCUAGAGCUCAACAAGUGUUAUGUUUUUUCCCCAUGAGCAAUGGAAAUAAGAGGCAAAUACUGGUCAUUUCUCCAUGCCAUUAUUAGGAGACAACCUUUUCUAUAAUAUCUGGAAUAUUAAGCAGUUUGUAAAAUUGCAAUUAGGUUCCUUUUUUAAACAAGCUUUUAGAGUUCUGGAUGCAGAAAAGUACUAAGCUGAGAAUUUACUAUGACAGUUGCUGGAUUGAGUCUUCAUCACAAAAUCUGUCCAAUAGCAGAGUACCUUGCACUGUUUUUUUGCAUUUAUCCUUUCCCAGGGUGUGAAGGCGUGACUAUGAAAGUGCAGGGGAAGAAGAAUGUGUGGGCCAGGGUUUGUGUCAGGGAGAAAGUCAGUGACCAAGGGGAAAACAGGGUAUUGGAAGGGAUUCUGUAUUUCCUGUGACAACCUCAGUGUUGCUAUAUACCCAGAGUUUGCCGAUUUGCUUCUGAUAAAGCAUUACGUAACUUUCCCCAACAUUCUAUUAUGAAAAAUUUCAAAUGUGUUGAAAGAACUGUAGACACGUGUACUCGCCAGUGAGAUAUUACCAUUAUUAUCUGACUCUGCUUGUUUUUAUUCCAUCCAUCUAUUCAUCCUAUUCUAUUCAUUAGUGUUUUUUAUACAUUUCAACUAAACCACAGACAUCAAUGAACAAUAUUUCACUAUUUUGGCAUAUGUGUUCAUUAAUGGAGUUCAAGGUGGGUUUUUAGUGUAAAAUUUACAAGGAAAUGCACAAAUCUCAGGUGUACAUUUGUGAGCUUUAAUGAAUGCCUAUGCCACCUGUGUAACUCCAACCCCUGUGGAGAUAUGGAACAUUGUCAUCAUUCCAGAAUGUUCUCUCAUGUAGCUUCCCAAAUGAAUUCCUUAUCCCCACAGACCCAGUGGCAGUCACUUUUCUGAUAUUUUAAAAACCACUCAGCUUAAAGCUAACAGUUUCCCAUGUACCAAGGGCAGCUCUAAAUUGCCUCACUGAGUUACAUAAUUCCAGUUUCAACCAUGCCACAGUACAACCAAGCCCAGCACCCUCACACACCUCACAAAUGUAAUUCCAUGACCUUGGUAUUUUUAAGAGUCUCCUUGUUUCAGUUUAGCUCCAGCUCUGCCCCUACUAACAUCUAUUUUUUCCCCCUCAACAUUUACAUCUGACACCCUAGCCUCUUGGGGCAGAAACUGCUGGAAUGAAGACCAGCUGAACAGUGCAGUCCUACGAAUGUGACUGAAAGGAGUUGGUUACCUGGCACACACCGCUGCUCAGAGCAGCUCUGUCAGGGAUUGGAGGGGGAGCCUCUGGCAGGAUGUGAUAUGAAGUCCUCUGGGAUGGAGUGUCAGGAGUAGAGGGACACGGGAACUUCAGUGUUCGCAGGUCUGAUGCUCAGCUGUUUAGCAGAUCUUGAGUCUAAAACAUUUCUUAAGGCAUGAGCUGACCAGAAGUGUCUUCUGCUUACGGUUUUGCGUUUUCUUCCCAUCAGUUGGCUUCAAAGCUGGCAUCUUCAGAGUGUGUGAAAGUUCCUUGCCAAGCAGAGGCCCGCCACUCUCAGACUAUAGGGAAGCAUCCCAAAGUGAAACACACUGAAGAAAACACUUGUGUGUGUUCUUUCCCAAUGUAUGUACACAUGUAUACACACAUAAUCACUGUGAAAGUUUUUUUCUGCAUUAAGCCCACAUUUCUCAGUCUUAGGUACUUGCCUUUUUCUAUUACUUGGUCUCUCCACUUCUUUAAUGGGUACCCAUAAUUUAUUGCACCCUUAUUAUGGGCCAGCACUGUACUUAUAUGUACACAUGUAUACACACAUAAUCACUGUCAAAGUUUUUUCUGCAUUAAGCCCACAUUUCUCAGUCUUAGGUACUUGCCUUUUUCUAUUACUUGGUCUCUCCACUUUUUUAAUGGGUACCCAUAAUUUAUUGCACCCUUACUAUGGGCCAGCACUGUACUUAUGAGUUCCCUACAUUAUCUCAUCGAUCUAUUAAAUGACCCUGUGAAGAAGGUUUUCUUAUCCUCACAGCUUAAAGAUAAAAAUGACUAAGAUUUAGGAGGGUUGAGCAGUUUGCCUGAGAUCAUACAAUCAGGAAUUUAUACUUUCAACUACCCCAGUAUUAUGAAAACUGGGAGGCCCCUGCUGACUCACUGGGCAGUGUGGACAGGAGUUGGGGUGUAAGUUAGUUUUAAAAGGGAGUGUAAAUGCAGCUAUAGAUAGAGGCAGAGAUGGAGAACAAGAAUGCAGAAUUUGACUAAGUCAUAUUUUCACUUGGAAUUAGUCAUACUUUAAAUGUCAACUGAAUACACACCCAAUUAGUUAAAGAAAUUUAAUCUACAACAAAGGUGGUAUCUUGAUGAGGAAAUGCAUAAUUAAAUCCCCUCUCUACACACAAAUAUAGAACAACAUGGGUGAAUCCCUUAUUUGGAGAUGGAGAAAAGUUAUUCCAACAAUGGCUCAAAAUCCAGAAACAUGGUUUAAAAAAACAAAACCAUGAAGACAAAUUGGGAAAAAUAUUUGUAAUUUAUAUCACUGAUAAAGGUCUAAAAGUCCUAAUAUAUAAAAAGCUUGUAAAAGUAGAGAUGACCAAUUACUAUGAAAGAAAUGGACAAGAAAUAUAGGCCGUUCACAGAAAAUUCAAAUGGUUCCUAAGCAUAUGAGAAGAAUGCUCAAUCUCAUUUAUAUUGGGAGAUGUAAA